rnacentral:lncRNA from 1 species
GCCGCUGUCUGAACUCUAUUCCUGUUAUAACAGUGUUCAGCCCUGAGUUUGACACCUGUUACUACAGAGACAUCCUUGGGCCUGCACCUGUCCCACAGCCCACUCUACCUGUGAUCGAGGUUGUUAACCCCUCCCCAGUCCCAUCUCAGGGCAGCCCCACACUGGAGUCCAAGUGGCUAAACUGAGCCCCUGAAGGGGAAGUGACCAGAGCAGAGGACAUACUACUAGAUUUGGACCUUCUGUGCUGCCUACCUGGGGUUCUUUGGGCUGAGUGGGCCAGGGCUGCCAGUCUUAACCUGGUACCUGUUUACCUGAGAAGGCCCCAUUCUGUUGUUCAACUACAGCUUCUGAACCGAGAAAUUUGGGACUUAUUUUUCUGAUUUUAAAAAUAAAGUGCCACACCGUUUUUAUAAAAAAAAAAAAAAAAAA